GCUGUCACAGCUCAUUAUCAGUUCAAUUGUUAGUAUGUUUGGAUGAGGGCUAAAAUUCCACGUUUAUCAGUUUCAUCCGACAAAUUUAGACAAUUAAUGUCAUCGGAAAGGCAAGCAAAGAGGAUAUGUCGGCAUAGAAACAGCACGAGGAGGCAAGACACUGAAGAAUAAUUUGAGACAAGGAAGCAACUCGACAGAUAUUGUAAGAUCAGCCCAGAACAGAAGGCAUUACGUCUUAGCCUAUCCUGUACCGAGAGCGAUGGAAGAAUUUUUUGACGGAUUUGGGAAAUUCGCAAAUUAUCAAAAAUUUGUUCCGAAAUCUGGAAAUGAAGAUGAAAUGGAAUGUACGACGCACAUUUCAACAAAAGUCUCGAUUCAAUGCAGGCCUGUAUUUUAAUUCAUUCAUCGUCAACUUUAGAACUGCCACAAUACCACACACCUUCAAUGCCAUAACUUUAAUGAGAAGUGCAGCCGGGGAGACCUGGUGGCUAAUUUGUAGACUAUGGACACGAAGAACGGAGAAUAUGUAAGAACAUUCUUUGCGAUACAUUCCUCGCUCCAUUGCACUGGUGCAUGUUGCGUUAUUGGCGCCAACUACAUCCAUCUCACCAAAAUUAAUGCGUCAUAUUUUAAGUCACGUGACCAAGCAGAAUCCUUUCUCCCGAGGACAGGCACAACUGGUCCAACAAUACCGAAGCUACUCAAACGGGAUAUAGUCUAAAUUAUAUUGAAGAAGAUAUCUUUGGCCCGGAUCUUUGGCAGUUGGCGAAUCUUUAUACAUUGGAAUAUCAACAGGUAGAACUUGAGAUAUACAGAAUGACUUUACAAUGGUUUUUCUUGGACAGAAAAUCUUCAGUUAUUGUGUGCGGACAAGACACCAAUUUUACGGCAGAGCUUCGCCGAGGCUAAUCCAAACCUUAGCCCCAGCUCAUGGGAGGUUUGUUGAUGGGUCUCUGGGCGGUUGUUCUGCCCCUGCUUUAUCAAUUUGAACUUGAUAAUUUUUUUACUAUCAGCGGACAGACAUGUUUAUGGAACUUUGGAGUUAUAUUUCUUUAUUGGAUCUUAUGAAAUUUUUUUGUGUUACUUGGAUUCGUUGGAACCCCUUGGAACGUGGAUGCAUGACGACGCCAUCAGAGAGAGGACAGAUGAACAUUCUGAGACUGAUCAAACGUUGCUGUACGA